UUGCUGUGAUGAUGCAAUUAACUGUAGUUGAAAGCGUUCACUGGAUGCUGGAUGAAACUUCGACAACUAUGUCGAUCCUGAGCGGUUACCUGAGCAA